CAGAUUGAACGCUGGCGGCAGGCCUAACACAUGCAAGUCGAACGGUAACAGGAAGCAGCUUGCUGCUUCGCUGACGAGUGGCGGACGGGUGAGUAAUGUCUGGGAAACUGCCUGAUGGAGGGGGAUAACUACUGGAAACGGUAGCUAAUACCGCAUAACGUCGCAAGACCAAAGAGGGGGACCUUMGGGCCUCUUGCCAUCGGAUGUGCCCAGAUGGGAUUAGCUAGUAGGUGGGGUAACGGCUCACCUAGGCGACGAUCCCUAGCUGGUCUGAGAGGAUGACCAGCCACACUGGAACUGAGACACGGUCCAGAC
rnacentral:rRNA from 1 species